AUUGAACGCUGGCGGCAGGCCUAACACAUGCAAGUCGAACGAGUGGCGGACGGGUGAGUAAUGUCUGGGAAACUGCCUGAUGGAGGGGGAUAACUACUGGAAACGGUAGCUAAUACCGCAUACCAUCAGAUGUGCCCAGAUGGGAUUAGCUAGUUGGUGGGGUAACGGCUCACCAAGGCGACGAUCCCUCGCUGGUCUGAGAGGAGGACCAGCAAAACUGGAACUGGGACCCGGGCCAGACUCCUACGGGAGGCAGCAGUGGGGAAUAUUGCACAAUGGGCGCAAUCCUGAUGCAGCCAUUCCGCGUGUAUGAAGAAGGCCUUCGGGUGGUAAAGUACUUUCAGCGGGGAGGCGUUACCCGCAGAAGAAGCACCGGCUAACUCCGUGCCAGCAGCCGCGGUAAUUC
rnacentral:rRNA from 1 species